rnacentral:lncRNA from 10 species
GUUUGGCUUUGGAGGAAGCACAGACAGCGGCCCCAUCCGGCAAGCAGGUCUGCCUGUCCCCCAAGAAGCUCUUAGUAGCAGCUGUGCUUGAACUCGUGGCCAUUUCUCCUCGGAUGACCUUUAGAAAUGGUUUACUGGUGCGGUGCUGUUUUCUCUGAGUUCUUAUUGGGCAAUUCAGGGGCAAGUCUAAAUGAUGCCUCUUUUCGAGGGAAAGAAGCAAGGCAGGAAGCUGCAGAGUCCAACAGGGAGCGCGGCCAGGGCCAGGAGCCCGUGGGAUCGCAGGAGCAUGCGUCUACUGCCUCACUGACACUCAUCUGAGCCCUCCCAUGACAUGGAGACCGUGACCAGUGCUGCUGCAGAGGAGGUCACGCGUCCCCAAGGCCUCCUGUGACUGGCAGCAUUGACUCUGUGGCUUUGCCAUCGUUUCCAUGACAACAGACACAACACAGUUCUCGGGGCUCAGGAGGGGAAGUCCAGCCUACCAGGCACGUCUGCAGAAACAGUGCAAGGAAGGGCAGCGACUUCCUGGUUGAGCUUCUGCUAAAACAUGGACAUGCUUCAGUGCUGCUCCUGAGAGAGUAGCAGGUUACCACUCUGGCAGGCCCCAGCCCUGCAGCAAGGAGGAAGAGGACUCAAAAGUCUGGCCUUUCACUGAGCCUCCACAGCAGUGGGGGAGAAGCAAGGGUUGGGCCCAGUGUCCCCUUUCCCCAGUGACACCUCAGCCUUGGCAGCCCUGAUGACUGGUCUCUGGCUGCAACUUAAUGCUCUGAUAUGGCUUUUAGCAUUUAUUAUAUGAAAAUAGCAGGGUUUUAGUUUUUAAUUUAUCAGAGACCCUGCCACCCAUUCCAUCUCCAUCCAAGCAAACUGAAUGGCAAUGAAACAAACUGGAGAAGAAGGUAGGAGAAAGGGCGGUGAACUCUGGCUCUUUGCUGUGGACAUGCGUGACCAGCAGUACUCAGGUUUGAGGGUUUGCAGAAAGCCAGGGAACCCACAGAGUCACCAACCCUUCAUUUAACAAGUAAGAAUGUUAAAAAGUGAAAACAAUGUAAGAGCCUAACUCCAUCCCCCGUGGCCAUUACUGCAUAAAAUAGAGUGCAUUUGAAAU